UUGGGAUCUAUUUUCUGGCCGUGCGCGGGAUGGCCACUUCGGAUCUUGGCCUAGUGGACAACGACGACCAGAUCUACCGGCAGGGAGGAUCUCGGUUGCCUCCUUGGCGACCUCUUGUCGGCCACAACCAUAUCAUUUGGGAGGUUGGUUCUUAAUGAAUAAGGAUAAUGUCCAAUUACCUUUUGUGCAAUAGAUAAUGCUCACUACCACCUAAUAUUUGUUCUUGCAUUGGGAUCUCUUUUGUGGCCGUGCGCGUGAUGGCCACUUCGGAUCUUGGCCUAGUGGACAAUGACGACCAGAUCUACCGGCAGAGAGGAUCUGUAGAUAAUGCUCACUACCACCUAGUAUUUGUUCUCGCUUUGGGAUCUCUUUUGUGGCCGUGCGUGGGAUGGCCACUUCGGAUCUUGUCCUAGUGGACAACGACGACGAGAUCUACUGGCAGGGAGGAUCUUGGUUGCCUCCUCGGCGACCUCUCGUCGGCCACAACAAUAUCAUUUGGAGUAUUUUUUCUCGCAUUGGAGUCUCUUUUGUGGCCGUGCGCGGGAUGGCCACUCCGGACCUUGGCCUAGUGGACAACGACGGCCAGAUCUACCAGCAGGGAGGAUCUCGGUUGCCUCCUCAGCGACCUCUCGUCGGCCACAACCAUAUCAUUUGGGAGGAGUAAAAAAUAACUAGACGAGGG